rnacentral:lncRNA from 12 species
ACUGCCUUCCAUAUUCAUCACAGCAUCUGCACACUUGACUGGGAAAAUCAUGAGGCCCCUGCCAAGUCGGUUGCACUAGAUCUACCAUGACACUAUGAGGAGAAACUUGGGUUCAAACCAGUGAUUGACAAGAAAAGCAAGAAGUGAGGAGAACAAGAUGAUGAGUAACUAUGAAAGCAAACUCUGAGGAGCUCUUCCUGUGGUAAUAUAUUUUAUCUGUAGGAAGAUAAAAGAUUAUGUAUUAUCUGCUGCCUCCCAGAAAGUUGGAUGAACAAACCUACAGUCCAGGUAAGUCUAGAAGCUGGAGUGAAGAAGACCCUAUUCUCAGGAUUUCAGAUCCAAAAUGGUAUAAAAACCAAACAUAA